CAGGCUAUCCUUUUUAGUUAGGAAUUUCAUUUACACUGAAAUUUUUGUCGUGCAAUUCGAUGUGGUCUGA
rnacentral:tRNA from 1 species